rnacentral:misc_RNA from 1 species
AGAGUUAAACAGUACGUGAAAUUGUUGAAAGGGAAACGAUUGAAGUCAGUCAUGCUAGUAGGGAAUCAACUUGGUGGAGCGAGUUUCUUGUUCUUCAACGAGGAAUCAACCUUUUGAGUGUGGAUUUAUCCGCGCUUUAUGGGUGCACUUUCUCGUAUUGUAGGUUAGCAUCGGUUUUGAUCGUUAUAAAAUGAUCGAAGGAAUGUGGCUUUGACUUCGGUUGAAGUGUUAUAGCCUUUGGUAGAUGUAACGGUCGAGACCGAGGAUUGCAACGGAUACCCUUACGGGCUAUACGCCUGGCCUCUGAUACGUCACUUUGGUGUCGAAAGCUUGCUUACGAUGUUAAAGCGUGCGGUCAAUAGGUUAGAACGGAUUAAAUUCGUUAAGGAUGCUGACGUAAUGGCUUUAAACGA